GAUGAACGCUGGCGGCGUGCCUAAUACAUGCAAGUCGAGCGAACAGACGAGAAGCUUGCUUCUCUGAUGUUAGCGGCGGACGGGUGAGUAACACGUGGAUAACCUACCUAUAAGACUGGGAUAACUUCGGGAAACCGGAUCUAAUACCGGAUGAUAUUUUGAACCGCAUGGUUCAAAAGUGAAAGACGGUCUUGCUGUCACUUAUAGAUGGAUCCGCGCUGCAUUAGCUAGUUGGUAAGGUAACGGCUUACCAAGGCAACGAUGCAUAGCCGACCUGAGAGGGUGAUCGGCCACACUGGAACUGAGACACGGUCCAGACUCCUACGGGAGGCAGCAGUAGGGAAUCUUCCGCAAUGGGCGAAAGCCUGACGGAGCAACGCCGCGUGAGUGAUGAAGGUCUUCGGAUCGGAAAACUCUGUUAUUAGGGAAGAACAGAUGUGUAAGUAACUGUGCACAUCUUGACGGUACCUAAUCAGAAAGCCACGGCUAACUACGUG
rnacentral:rRNA from 1 species